rnacentral:rRNA from 1 species
UACGGGGGGAGCAAGCGUUGUUCGGAUUUACUGGGCGUAAAGGGCGCGUAGGCGGCCUUCUAAGUCGCACGUGAAAUCCCUGGGCUCAACCCAGGAACUGCGUCCGAUACUGGAAGGCUUGAAUCCGGGAGAGGGAUGCGGAAUUCCAGGUGUAGCGGUGAAAUGCGUAGAUAUCUGGAGGAACACCGGUGGCGAAGGCGGCAUCCUGGACCGGCAUUGACGCUGAGGCGCGAAAGCCAGGGGAGCAAACGGG